rnacentral:rRNA from 1 species
CGAUUAGAGUUUGAUCCUGGCUCAGAACGAACGCUGGCGGCAUGCCUAACACAUGCAAGUCGAACGAUGCUUUCGGGCAUAGUGGCGCACGGGUGCGUAACGCGUGGGAAUCUGCCCUUUGGUUCGGGAUAACAGUUGGAAACGGGGGCUAAUACCGGAUGAUAUCSCGAGAUCAAAGAUUUAUCGCCAGARGAUGAGCCCGCGUAGGAUUAGGUAGUUGGUGGGGUAAAGGCCUACCAAGCCGACGAUCCUUAGCUGGUCUGAGAGGAUGAUCAGCCACACUGGGACUGAGACACGGCCCAGACUCCUACGGGAGGCAGCAGUGGGAAUAUUGGACAAUGGGCGCAAGCUGAUCCAGCAAUGCCGCGUGAGUGAUGAAGGCCUUAGGGUUGUAAAGCUCUUUUACCCGGGAUGAUAAUGACAGUACCGGGAGAAUAAGCCCCGGCUAACUCCGUGCCAGCAGCCGCGGUAAUACGGAGGGGGCUAGCGUUGUUCGGAAUUACUGGGCGUAAAGCGCACGUAGGCGGCUUUGUAAGUCAGGGGUGAAAGCSUGGAGCUCAACUCSAGAACUGCCUUUGAGACUGCAUSGCUUGAAUSSGGGRGAGGUANNNNNANNNCNGNCCCCCGCGNNGAAANNNNNNNAUAUUCGGAAGAACACCAGUGGCGAAGCGCGGCUUMCUGGACCGGGAUUGACCCUGAGGUGCGAAAGCGUGGDGAGCAAACAGGAUUAGAUACCCCUGGUAGUC